UUACAAGCCAGGGGCCUCGAGGGCUCGAAUACAAGUGCUCGAUCAUAGACGAGUCAGCGGAAGCAAUAAUAUCUGAGUACAGACAUAAGUUAAACAAGUUGCCAUAAGAUGGCUAGCACAAACUAGGAUACAGAUCGAAAGAGGCGCAUGCCUCCUGCCUGGGAUCCUCCUAACUACUACUGGUCGUCGUCAACAGCCUGCACGUAGUAGUAGGCACCUCCAGUGUAGUAGUCGUCGUCGACGGUGGCGUCUGGCUCCUGGACUCCAACGUCUGGUUGCGGCAUCUGAGAAGAAGAGGAAAACGGGGGAAAAGAGGGAGCAAAGCAACCGUGAGUACUCAUCCAAAGUACUCGCAAGCAAGGAUCUACACUACAUAUGCAUGGGUAUAUGUGUAAAGAGGCAAUAUCGGUGGACUGAACUGCAGAAUGCCAGAAUAAAAGCGGGAUAGCUAGUCUUAUCGAAGACUACGCUUCUGGCAGCCACGUCUGGCAGCAUGUAGAAGAGAGUAGAUUGAAGUCCUCCAAGUAGCAUCGCAUAGCAUAAUCCUACCGAGAUCCUCUCCUCGUCGCCCUGUGGCAAAGCGAUCACCGGGUUGUCUCUGGAACUUGUCUGGGUGUGUUUUAUUAAGUAUCCGGUUCUAGUUGUCAUAAGGUCAAGGUACAACUCCAAGUCGUCAUGUUACCGAAGAUCAUGGCUAUUCGAAUAGAUAAACUUCCAUGCAGGGGUGCACCACAUAACCCGACACGCCCGAUCCCAUUUGGCCAGACACACUUUCCUGGGUCAUGCCCGGCCUCGGAAGAUCAACACGUCGCAGCCCCACCUAGGCAUAACAGAGAGGUCAGCACGCCGGUCUAACUCCUAUGGCGCAGGGGUCUGGGGCCAUUGCCUAUUGCACAUCUGCACGUUGCGUGGGCGGCCGAAAGCAGACCUAGCCUCCCUAAUACAAGAGCAGAUGUUCCAGUCCAAUCCGGCGCGCCGCUCAGUCGCUGACGUCAAGAAGGCUUCGGCUGAUACCACGACGUCGAUUGCCCAUAACUGUUCCCGCGUAGUUGGUUAGUGCGUAUAGGCUAGUGACCAGACUCAGAUCAAAUACCAAGAUCUCGUUAAGCGUGUUAUUAUGAAGUAACCGCGAACGCCGACCAGGGCCAGGCCCACCACUCUCCUAGGUGGUCUCAACCUGCCCUGUCGCUCCGCCACAAAGUAACAGUCGGGGACCGUCAGGAACCCAGGCCCACCUCUACCGGGAUGGAGCCACCUGUCCUUCCAGACCCCACAUCGGAAUCACUUGCGGGUAGUCAACGAGCCAACUCGACUUUAGUCACCAUCUGUAUAGUAUGUAUAUAUGUAUAGUAUUUACCCGUGAUCACCUCCCGAGUGAUCACAGCCCAAUAGUAUAGCAAGGCAGACUGACAAGAAUGUAGGGCCAAUGAUGAUAAACUAGCAUCCUAUACUAAGGAUUUAGGAUUGCGGGUAAGGUAUCAACGACUGUAGCAACAAUGACAGGCUAUGCAACAGAAUAGGAGUAACCGAACAGUAACAUGCUACACUACUCUAAUGCAAGCAGUAUAGAGAAGAAUAGGCGAUAUCUGGUGAUCAAGGGGGGGGGGGCUUGCCUGGUUGCUUUGGAAAGGAGGGGUCGUUGUCGACGUAGUCAUACUCAGGGGCAUCAACGUCGGUCUCGGGGUCUAACGGAGAAGAAGAGGGGGAAGAAACAGUAAAUACAUUGCAAACAGAUGCAUGACGAUGCAUGACAAAGCAAAUAGCGGUGAUAGGUGUGCCCUAACGCAGUACUAGGUGAUACCGGCAAAGGGGGGAAACAUCCAGGAAAGUAUCCCCGGUGUUCCGCGUUUUCGGACAGAUGAACCAGAGGUGAAAUGUUGCAGGUUCGCUAUGCUAGGGACGCGUGGCGGACAAACGGGCUGCGUGUUCGGGUUCGUCUCGUCGUUCUGAUCAACUUUCAUGUAUAAAGUAUUUUCAUCCGAGCUACGGUUUAUUUUAUAUUAAUUUUCAAAGUUUUAAAUGAUUUUCUAAUUUCUGGAUUUCAAUUAAUUCGAAAUUAAAAACAGAACACUUUUGUCACCUAGUACUACUCUAGCCAGGGUCUAUUACAUGUGGGGCCAGAGGAAUGCUGACUCAGUAGUCAACAGUCAAACUGUUGACUGUUGACUAGUCAAAAUUGGGCAGUGGGGCCCAGGUGUCAUUGGGACAUAAUUUUAUCAGAGUUUCCUUAGUUUAAAAUUUAGGUGCGGGUCCACCAGUCAUUAUCACAGGGGUAUUGACUUAGACUAAUUAAACUAGGCCUAAUGGCCUUGGGCCCACGGGUCAGUGGGGGUUAGUGGGAAGAGUUAGGGCCCUGAUCUAACAGGGUCAGCCUCUCAGGCAGAGAGCCAGCCGGCUGAGCAGCAGCCAGGAGCUGCGCAGCCAGCAGCGAAAGGAGCCGGCGGAGGGCCGCGUAGGCGCAUGCGGUGGCGGGACCAAGGAGUUGAGUAAUGGAGCAAUCACCACACACUGUAUUCAGUCCCUCGAGGGGGUAUAUAUGCAGUUACACGAGGAGGAGAGAUACAGGGGGAGGUGAGCUAGCUACAACGGCUCAUAGGCCGAGCAUGCAGUGCAUGCGAUCGUGGGUGCGCGCACGAAGUGCACGCGCUGGUUAUCCAUCCGGUGGAACCGGUCAUGAGGUUAGCCACGCUGAGAAGGUGCAGAGGACGUGUUCCAACACCCCCCCGCAGCCAAAACGUGGGGUUCUCGUACGUUGAGGCUGGAGCGGAACUCGCCGAAGACGGAGGUCGGAAGACCCUUCGUGAAGAUGUCCGCAAACUGAGAGCUGGUAGGUACGUGCUGGACGCGCACCUCGCCGAGCGCCACACGCUCACGGACGAAGUGAAGAUCGAUCUCGACGUGCUUCGUGCGUUGAUGCUGCACCGGGUUGCUGGACGUGUACAUGACAGUGACAUUGUCGCAAUAGACAACGGUGGCACGCUCAGGAGGUUGGUGAAGCUCGCCGAGAAGUUGACGGAGCCAAGCGGACUCGGCGACGGCGUUGGCGACGGCGCGGUACUCGACCUAGCGGGAGACCAUGUUCUGCCGCUUGGAGGACCAAGUGAGCAGGUUGGGCCCGAGAAAGACGCAAUAUCCGGAUAUGGACUUGCGUGUGUCGGGGCAGCCCGCCCAGUCGGCAUCAAAAUAAGCGACGAGCUCGGACGCGGCGGAGCGGUGGAGCUGAAGGCCGAGAUGAGUAGUCCCGCGUAGGUAGCGCAGAAUGCGCUUGACGAGCUGGAAGUGAGCCUCGCGCGGCGCAUGCAUGAAGAGACAGCACUGCUGCACGGCAUAGGACAAAUCGGGCCACGUCAGUGUGAUGUACUGGAGCGCGCCCGCGAGGCUACGGUAGAGCGUCGGGUCGUGGAAGAGCGGGCCAGAGUCGCCAGACAACUUGGCGAGCAUGUCGACUGGCGUGGCGAUGGGCUUGCAGUUGAGCAUGCCGGCGCGGUCGAGGAUCUCAAGAGCAUACUGCUCCUGCGAGAGGAAGAGCCCAGCUGCGGUAGUCGUGACGUUGAUGCCGAGGAAGUGGUGUAGCACGCCGAGGUCCGUCAUGGAGAACUCAGCAUGCAGUGACGCAAUGAUGCGCUAAAGAAGAGCAUCGGAGCUGGCGGUGAAGAUGAUGUCAUCCACGUAGAGCAGCAGGUAGGCGAGGUGGCGCCCAUGUCGAAGAAUGAACAACGACGAGUCCAAGCGUGAUGCAGUGAAGCCGAGGGCGCGGAGGUAGUUGGUGAAGCGCGAGAACCAGGCACGAGGAGCCUGCUUGAGGCCGUACAGCGAGCAGUUGAGGCGACACACAUGAGACGGCUGGACGGAGUCGACGAAGCCGGACGGUUGCUGGCUGUAGACGGUCUCGGCGAGGUGGCCUUGGAGGAAGGCAUUCUUCACGUCCAACUGGUGGAUCGACCAAGACUGCCCGGCGGCAAUGCUCAGGACAGUCCGGACCGUGGCUGGCUUGACGAGGGGCUGAAGGUCUCCCCGUAGUCGAUGCCGGCCUGCUGUGUGAAGCCGCGAAGAACCCACCGCGCCUUAUAGCGAGCGAGCGUGCCGUCGGGAUGGAACUUGUGCCGGAAGAUCCAUUUUCCUGUCACCACGUUAGCACCUGCAGGACGAGACACCAAACACCACGUAUCAUUCCGCAUUAGUGCAUUAUACUCCUCUAGCAUGGCGUUGUACCAGUUGAGGUCUUUUAGGGCAAUGCGGUAGGAGGAUGGAAUGGGACUGAUGGCGGAAGUAGUGGCGUGUAGGGAGACUUGCUGCUUCGGUUGAGAGAACCCAGUCUUGGCCCUGGUGUGCAUGGGAUGGGCGUUGGAGGGUGGAGCGACCGGAAUGGCUCGAGGUGGCAGGACGGGUGCAGGAGGGGGCGGAUUGGCAGGCGGGGGCGACGUGCGCGGGGGCGGGCAUGCAGGGCUGCAUGUGGGUGUAGCAGCGGGGCCAAGAGAUGGCGGGUGGGGGUGUGCAUGCGGGGAGGGCGGAUGCGGGGACGUGCAUGCAGGGCCCGCGGGCGCCCCAGCGCGUGGGCUGGUUGGUGGGGUUCGACGUGGGGAGGGGACAGGUGGAGUUCGCUGGUGGGGCUGCGCGGCGUGCAAGGGGGAUGCGUGAUUCCCGGCGGCAAAGCGCGGGGAGACAGCUGCAGAUCCAAGACGCGCGGAUCCCGGGGCGGAUAUGGACGAGGUAGGUAGGGCGCGGUGUGCAGGGUGGAUGGCAGGCCUGGGAUUCGCUGCGGCCGGGGGAGUACGUGCGGGAGGUGAGGCAGGGAGAUAAGGAAAUUCUGUUUCGUUGAACAUGACGUGCCGGGAUAUUAUGACGCGCCGCGAGGCAAGGUCAAGGCAGCGAUAGCCCUUGUGUUCGAGGGCAUAGCCGAGAAAAACGCAACGAACGGCGCGGGGGGCAAGCUUGUGCGGGCUAGUGGAGUAUGUGUUGGGAAAACACAGGCAGCCGAACACCCGAAGAUGGUCGUAGGUGGGGUGACGUCCUUGUAGACGGAAGUGAGGUGUUUGAUGUUGGAUAGCGGACGACGGGCGCCGGUUGAGGACAUGGGUGGCAACAUGGAGUGCCUCAACCCAGAAUUCGGGUGGUAGAUGGGCAUGGAGGAGUAAGACCCUAAGGAUGUCGUUUGUUGUACGAAUGAGGCGCUCCGCCUUCCCGUUCUGCGGCGAGGUGUGGGGGCAAGAGAGAUGGAAGGAGGAGCCGUGGGUGGAGAAAAGAGAUCAUAAAGAUGUGGUGAGGAACUCUCCGCCGUUGUCGCAUUGCAUGCAUUGAAUGGUAACGUGGAACUGGGUUUGGACGUAGAUGAAGAAGCGAGUGAGCAUAUCGGCGGUGUCGGAUUUGUUGCGUAGAGGAAAUGUCCAGGAGUAGUGGGAGAAGUCGUCAAGUAUCACGAGAUAAUAUUGAAAACCAGAAAAACUACACACAGGAGAGGUCCAUAAAUCACAAUGUAUUAAUUGGAAAGGUGCAGUGGUAACAGAAGUGGAAGAAGAAAAAGGCAGCCGUGGCUGCUUGCCUAAUUGGCAUGAAGAACAAAUGCUAGUUUUGGCCACGCCAUUAUUACAUGAUGGUAGGAAAUUUUUAGCUAAAAUAGAGAUGGAGUUAUUGCUGGGGUGGCCUAGGCGGAGAUGCCACAAGUUGUCGACGGCGGAAAGAGCAUGCUGAACACCGGAGUUGCCGAAGAAUGGGUACAAAUCUCCAUGGCUAUUGGACCUCAUCAUGACGCGCCCCAUCGCUAGGUCCUUCAUAGUGAAACCAUAGGGAUCAAACUCAAUAGUACAAAAAUUGUCAAUCGUAAAACGACGAACAGAAAUAAGGUUGCGAAUGAUGGAUGGUGUGACGAGGACGUCAUUGAGAGUGAAGGAGGAGAGUUGGGCGUGACCAACGGCUGUGAUGGGGAGGCGAGACCCAUCCCCAACGGUGAUGCCAGGGGAGUGAUGCAGUAACGGGGAAGAACAGGAGGUGAGGGUGGUCGUCUUACCAGCUACGUGGGAGGAAGCCCCCGUGUCGAGGAUCCAGUCCGGGGCGGCGCCGGCGUGCUGUUGCUGCAUGGACAGGUUGUGGAGCGCCGCGUUGAGCUGGUGGUACUACUCCCAGGAGGGGCCGCCCGCAGCUGGGGGCGCCGUGACCGGGUACGCUUGGUGCGGCGGAGGCGGACGGGGCCCGAGGGCGCCGGCGGCGUUGGGCGCGGACCACGGCACACGGAGCUGGUGCGGCUGGGGGGGGGGACGGCGUGUCCCAGGGGGCGAAGUAGCCCAGCCAUGGGCGCGCGUUCGCGGCGGGAGCGAGAGUGCCACGGCCGCCCGCGGUGGAGUUGCCUGAAGAAGAGGAGCCGGGGGACCCGCGCCCGCAGCCGCGCCCACGGCCGCGCGUCGGCCUGUCAGCGGGAGGAGAGGAGGCGGGGCCCUUGCCCCUGUCGUUGGCGGGGGCGCCCGCACGACCGUCACUGGUGUCGGGGGCGCGCCCGAUGGUGAGCACGGUCGGCGAGGCCACGCCCUGCCCGUCCAUGCGGGCCCGCUAGUUGGCGGAGAGCUCCUCCAGGAGAAGCCGGGAGCGGGCUUGGAUGAAGGACGGGAAGGGGUCCUGCAUCGGGAGGAGAGUCGCCAUCACCUGGAAGCGACGACUGAGCCCGCGGAUGAGCUGGAGGGUGAGGGCUUGGUCGGAGAUGGUGACGCCGACCUCGCCGAGCGCAUUGGCGAGCGCCUUCAGCCGCCUGCUGUAUUCGGCGACGGAGAGGUCGCCCUGCACCGUGUUCCGGAAUUCCGCCUCGAAGAUGAUGGCGCGGCCCGGUUGAUUGUCGCGGAACAGCAGGUGGAGCUGGACCCAGACGUCGCGUGCGGUGCUCUCGGGGGACAUCACGACGUCCUGGAGAUCUUCAGCGAUCACCUCGUACAUCCAGAGUACGAUAGUGAUGUCGUCGUUUCGCCAGACGGCGCUUUGAUGGAGAGGCGCUACGGCGACGUCGAGGUGGUGCUGCACGUUGUGGCGACAACAGAUGAAGUAGAACAAUUGGCGCCAUUUAGAGUAGUUACCCGUGUCGAGCUCGAGCUUCCGGUGGAAGUGGUGCGCGAUGGAGUUGGGUAGGACGCUGGUGGCGAAGGGACCGGCGUCGGGGUUGGGGGCGCUGGAGGUGCCCACGUGGAGGCGCGAGACGACGAGCUCGCUGCCGGCCGUACGCAGAGCAAUCGCCGGAGCGCGGGCCGGGGCGGCGUGGGAGGCGGCAGCCGGCCCUAGGGUGGAGGGAGGAGGCAGCACGAGCUCAUCGACGGGCUGCUUGCCCCGGUCAGCAGCGGGAGGAGCACGGGCCUGGAUGGGGGCGAAGGGGUUGCUGGGAGGGGUGUCGAGGUCAGCCGAGCGGGUGCGGCGAAGGAGGCGAUUCAUGGCGGAAGCGGGGGAUCGGAGAAUCUGAUACCAAGUUGAGUAAUGGAGCAAUCACCACACACUGUAUUCAGUCCCUCGAGGGGGUAUAUAUGCAGUUACACAAGGAGGAGAGAUACAGGGGGAGGUGAGCUAGCUACAACGGCUCACAGGCCGAGCAUGCAGUGCAUGCGAUCGUGGGUGCACGCGCUGGUUAUCCAUCCGGUGGAACCGGUCGUGAGGUUAGCCACGCUGAGAAGGUGCAGAGGACGUGUUCCAACACAAGGCAACGACGGGGCAUCACGGGCGUGGGCGGCGCACGAUGGGGUUAGUGGAGGCGGGUGAGAUCUGUGGCUGCCAUCGACAGAAGCGGCAGCACGGGCGUAUGCGAGCGGCGGCCAGCAGCGGGCCAAGGCGGUAGGCAGGGGAGGUGAGGCGCGCGGCUGGAGCCGCCCGAGCGCAGCGGAGUACGGGGAUCAGGCGCGGCUGGACGGGAUCGACGCGGUGAGCCCAACCGCGGCGACUGGAGCAGCAUCAGCGGCAACAAGUAGCAGCGGCGGAUUGAGCAAUGGAGGAAGGGGAUCCACGGCGGAGCUCACCUAGUAGGCGCACGGAGGCUCGCUGGGAGUUUAGGAGCAGCAGCGACGGUGUAUAUGACGGAGAGGCGCCGGUGAUCGAAGUGGACGAAGCGCUCGAUCCCGACGCUGUAGAGGCGCAGAGCUCGAAUGAGUCCUCGUAGAGGACGUAGUGGACGACGGCGCAUCUCCUAGGCGCGGUCUCGAAGCAUGGGGGCGACGGUGGCCGUAAGAUCGACGGAGGCCAUGGCGGCAGUGCUUCGGGCUUGUGCGGGGAACGAGAGAGCGGCGCGAGGGAAAUGGGAGAGUGAGCUAGGGUUCGUCACGGGGGUUCGGGGAGGGGUCGCCUCGACCUAAAGGAGCCGCGGGGCACCGGAUGGCCGCCCCGUGGCCAUCUUCGGCCAUGGACGCGGUGCGCGCGUCCAGCGCGACGGGGGUGAACAGGAGAAGGGGAAGGGGUUAAGUGGGCCGUGUUUUCAGCUAAUGGGCCACAGGGCCCAGUAGAUUAGUUUUGUCGUUAUUUUUCUUUUGUCUUUUUCCUUUUGUUUAUUUUUUCUUUUCUGUUAUCUGUUUUAUUUUAGUUCCUCUUCUAUUUUAGUUUUAUAGUCUAUAAAAGUAGUCCCUAAUUUAGUGUUAAUAAAUAGGCUACUGCCACAUAAGUUUGGGCAACAAAAUAAAAUAGUUUAAUAUUUUAUUUAUUGUAAAAGGCAUUCAACUAAUUGUUUUUUUUCUAUUGUUUGAAACAUUUUAGAGUAUUUUACACUUUUAUAAAAGUGUGGUUUCUCCACCAUACUUACCUAUGCAUUAUUUGGCUCACCCCGAACAUUUUAGUUUUAAUAUUCAAAAACUUCUAUUGUUUGCCUGAUUUUGAAUUUGAAUUUGAGUCAGUUUCGAACUAACGCGAGAUUAGCAACAGUAAUCGAGGUGACGUGGCAUCAUUAGUAGAAAGUUACUGUAGCUUAAUUAUCCGGACGUCAGAAUUCUCCUCCACUACAAGAAAUCUUGUCCCGAGAUUUAAGAGGGGAGUAAGGGGGAAGAAUAGGUUACGAAAUUCUAAUGAUUCUUCUCAGUCUUGGUUGCUCUUCUCGAAGAGGUCGAUCCAUUACGUUGAUGUCCUCAUUUCUCUGCUUGAGGUUAUCACGAUGAAGCUGACAUCCUUUCUUCGGGAUCUCCAUCAUACUUACGAAUAGGUAAGGGGCAACUCGGCAACGACAGAAUGCUAUAAGGGUAAUAAUCUGGGGGUAACCCACAAAUGAGCAUAUGAGUACCUCUCGUGUUGGACCUCAGGAAAUACAUCAAGAGAAAUAAAGUAGGCAUGAAAAUCUUCAAGCGGGUGGGUAAACGUUCGAUGCCUGAAAAAGAUUGUGAGAGGGGUUCAGAGCAACGAGAAUAGGUAUUGUGUCUGAUACCAGAAUUGAUGAUCUCGCGGAAGGUGGCUCGUGAAUUACAUACGAAGCCAAACCUGGGGAAAACAGUGGCGUACAGGAGAGUCAGGUUUCGAUCCUGUGGAACUGUGGGUUAUGGGCCCACAAUGUGGUUUAAAAGCAGGAAGGGCGGUGACGUCUUGCACGAUCAUGUAAGCAAGGCAUGUCAGAGGAUUGUCUAUCGGUUAUGUUGGCAACAACAUCGGUACCAGGGCGAGGGAGAAAGAGAACCAUUUUCCUUCUCGUUGAACAAGGUGAACAAAUUGGCAAAGUUAUCACCCAUCGGUGGUUACCGGAAUGUCAUCAACAAUAGUAACAGGAUCUUACAGACAGAAUGGUACAACAAGGUGCCUACCUAAGCAGGGAAUUAUCUCUGCUUAGUUAAGUCAAAUUCAGGAAAGGAUAAACAAAAGAAUGGAAAGGAAAACACGAUUAUUAGAUUAAACAGAAGAAUGGAGAGGAAAAUUGUGAUUACACACAAUUAUUAGGAGUAUAUCCUUCCCAUGUACAAGCAGAAUGGCAUACAGGGUAGGAGAGCAAGUACCCAACCAUUCAGAUAAGAGGCAAGGAUUAAUCAAGAUGUUACCCAUACAACGGUGUUUGGAUAACUGAACAAGAAACAUUUAGCAUUGCGCCUCCAAUGUUCUUGUUGAUGAGCGGGGUAUCAUAGUCAUGCUUCGAGAUAACAUUGACAUGGUCAACAGGUGAAGAUCAGACUUUGGAAACAAAAAGGAUCCAUCAGGAACAACUUAUAAAAUAAGUCUUACAAUUUGCUCAUGGAAGAAUGAGUAACCUUGCCAAAAAGGAAACUAUAACAAUAGGUCCUCUGACCAGGUGUGCUAGGCAUGACAUCACCUUACCGGGUCAUAUAAAGACCAAUGUUAUAACUCUUGGAAAUAUGUUCCAACCAUCAUAUCUGACCGAGAUUCAGAUCUGAUUGGUGUCAGGAUACCUCAGACUCAGGAUCCUGAGAUAAAAAGGUACGACACGAAUUAACGAGAAGACAUCAUAAGAUUCUCGGGAAACGAACUAUGGAAGCGAGUUUCGAAACAAGAGUUCAUCAGUAAACCAAGGAGAGGAUGAUAAGGUGGCUGAUGGACUCAGCGACAGAUCAUCGAGAUUUCCAAAGGAUGGAUUUCCACAAUUAUGUGAACAAGGAGAUAACAUUUGCCAUAUCAAAUGGUAUAGUGAUGCAUGCUCGAGGAAAACCUACAGAAUUAAACAUUGGUUGAAAGAUGCACCCAUAAUAUGGGCUUAGGUAGCAUGAUCAAUGUUUAGAAUGGUGAUUCAAUUAUCAAAAGACUUAGAAUGAAACUAUCGCUCAUUCACUUCAAAGCAAUAGGGUUGCUAGAAGUUUUGGAUUCACGCAUCAUAGCUCAAUUGUCGGUAUUCCGGUUAAAAACAACACGGGGACCCAUGAAUGAAUGGAGAUGGCGAGAAGUGUUAUUAUAUCAAGAAUUCUUAAGAGGUGGUGAAAUUCUCACCACAUUCUUGACAAAAAGAGAUGGUAAUAUCCAAGGUAAAACAGAACAUGAGCUAGAUAGCGAGGAGCUCAAGGUAUAACACAAAACACGAACAAGUUUGUGUUGAACGAAAGGCAAUAGAGUGGUUGAUGAUAACACAAAUCAUCGAGGGAAAGGAUGGUAUUUCUCAUCAUGAAUUCAAUUGAUAUCCUAGAAGAGCUCAGAAUGCCGAUGAUGAUCACGACACACUUGUCGAGAAAUUUCAAGAUGUAAUCGAUGGACGAUGACAUCAAGUCAAAGGAAUGGUGAAGCGAAAGGUUAUUGGAACCAAGGGUAUGACACAAACUUGAAACCAAGCUCGUUGUUCAAGGCGAAAUGAUAUGAUGAGGAAGAUCGACGUAAGCUUAGCUCACCAUCAAAAAUUAUGCUCCGGGAAUAAGGACCAGGUAGCACCGUUAAAAUUAGCACUAUCAUGAUAGCCGAUCAGGCUAGGAUUGACAUGCUCGAGUUCAAACCCGUAAGCAAUGACGAUUAAUAGGAGUUGUCAAAUCAUAGUGCGGAAUCGAAUCAGUUAUCAGUGUCCUUGAGUGGUUAUCAACUCAGACCCCAAGAAAAAUUGGAAGCAAUGAAGAUAAUACUUGAUGAAGAACUCAUAAGAAAUUAUGUACUUGAUAUUAUCGAGGUACCAAAGGGUAAUGCUCGAAGGUUGAGAAGAAUCAAGGUUGGGCGGGCAUAUUGAUCAGCAGAAGACAAGCGAUUUAACUUGUCCGAGAAAUGGGAUCAAAGAAAAAAAAUCAUGGUCGGAACCACGGUUGCAAAGGACCAGGCAUAGAUACAAGAUGAACUUAUAACAAGGGGAUUAUCAUUACUACAAGAAGCUUCCAUGAUAAGUUCCACAUCGGGUCCAUGGGCAUGAACACAGGGUUCAAGGUCGACUCCCACUUCUCCAAAGCACAACCUUACAUUCACUUCUCGUUUCGAUAAUGGCAUUAGUGUUGAAAGUUUUACCUGGUGAAAUACCAGAUGAGUAUGACCCGUGAAAUCCUCCGGGCUCACAUAGAUUAGGUAAGGCAUUGGUUCAACCCAUCGGGCAUCUUAGGAACAUAUACCACAAUUUUUUUAGGAGUAAUUAACCAAGCUCGAUAAUAGAGCAUGGUUGUCAAGACAGAGGAUACAAUUUAAGAAAGGCAUUAUGUAUCAGGGAAAGAACUCACAAUAUUAGAAUGUGAAUGAUACCAACGGAUAACAACCCAGCAAUGGGUCUGGCGGUCGACAACAAAGCUGACAUGAGUAUCGGUACUCAACCAGAGGAAGAAAGAUGCAAAGGCAUCAGAUUAUGGAAACAUCUGAAUACUUUGAUGUUUUAAUGAUCAAAGGAAUUAUGAAUUCCAGAUCGGUGUAUCAGAAUCAGAUGCCCUGAUCAGUUACGAGUAAGUUUGAUUGGCGGAAAAUCAGCUCAUAUCUCGAAUUACGUCUGAGCGAGAAAGAUAAUUCCUAAGGAUCAGCUGAUGAUUAUGAGCAAUCACACACGUAUUGAAUCGAGGGACUCAAGAUGCUAAUGACAAAGGAUGUCAAGGAAUAUUGCUAGGCAUAUGGAAUUAACCACAAUGCAGCGGGCAAGAAGAAUCUCAUAAGCACUAAGCUGUAGAGGACUCUUGGAAGAUCAAAUGGCAUUUCAAAGUAUGUUGUGAAACACAUGAACAACUGGGGAUGAAUGAAUUCCCGGUAAUUGUGAGGAAUUAUCCGUACAUGUAUUUGUGCGGAAAAGGAACUGCAAGGCAGUAAGCAUAAAGGAUCCUCGGAACAUCGAAGAGUAUUUCAGGGCAUCUUGUAAUAACAAGAUCAACUUGGGGUGAAGGUAUGAAUGAGAAGUUACCCAUAGAGGUUUAUCGAUGGAUGGGAAUUGCAAAAGCAAUGGCACAAGUCUCGAGAGAACAUCAUAGAGUAUCUUCGGAAUCUUCUGGUGCAGCAGGCGUUCAUUGGUAACACGGGGCUCUUCGGGUGGAAGUGAUCACGAGAUCCUAAUGUUAGAGUUAGCAAAAUUCAUUUAACCCGAAUAGAAGAGAGAUCAGAGUCCCAGAGUAUAGACGAGGAGUAAAAGAUUCUAAUACCACCCAAUGGCGACGUGGACCCGUAAGCCGCACAGCCAUGUUAGUAAAAGUUUUUCAAUGACUAGACUCGACUUCGGCCAAGGAGUUGCAAAGGGGAAUUCCUACAGGCAAUCGGCUCUAAUACCAACUUGUGACGCCCCCGAUUCAAUCGUACACUAAUCAUGCACGCAAACGUGUACGAUCAAGAUCAAGGACUCACGGGAAGAUAUCACAACACAACUCUAAAAACAUAAAUAAGUCAUACAAGCAUCAUAUUACAAGCCAGGGGCCUUGAGGGCUUGAAUAAAAGUGCUCGAUCAUAGAUGAGUCAGCGGAAGCAACAAUAUCUGAGUACAGACAUAAGUUAAACAAGUUGCCAUAAGAUGGCUAGCACAAACUGGGAUACAGAUCGAAAGAGGCGCAGGCCUUCUGCCUGGGAUCCUCCUAACUACUACUGGUCGUCGUCAGCAGCCUGCACGUAGUAGUAGGCACCUCUAGUGUAGUAGUCGUCGUCGACGGUGGCGUCUGGCUCCUGGACUCCAACGUCUGGUUGCGGCAUCCGAGAAGAAGAGGAAAACGGGGGAAAAGAGGGAGCAAAGCAACCGUGAGUACUCAUCCAAAGUACUCGCAAGCAAGGAGCUACACUACAUAUGCAUGGGUAUAUGUGUAAAGAGGCAAUAUCGAUGGAUUGAACUGCAGAAUGCCAGAUUAAAAGGGGGAUAGCUAGUCUUAUCAAAGACUACGCUUCUGGUAGCCUCCGUCUUGCAGCAUGUAGAAGAGAGUAGAUUGAAGUCCUCCAAGUAGCAUCGCAUAGCAUAAUCCUACCCGGGAUCCUUCCCUCGUCGCCCUGUGGGAAAGCGAUCACCGGGUUGUCUCUGGAACUUGUCUGGGUGUGUUUUAUUAAAUAUCCGGUUCUAGAUGUCAUAAGGUCAAGGUACAACUCCAAGUCGUCCUGUUACCGAAGAUCACAGCUAUUCGAAUAGAUAAACUUCCCUGCAGGGGUGCACCACAUAACCCAACACGCCCGAUCCCAUUUGGCGGACACACUUUCCUGGGUCAUGCCCGGCCUCGAAAGAUCAACACGUCGCAGCCCCACCUAGGCCUAACAGAGAGGUCAGCAUGCCGGUCUAACUCCUAUGGCGCAGGGGUCUGGCCCAUCGCCCAUUGCACACCUGCACGUUGCGUGGGCGACCGAAAGCAGACCUAGCCUCCCUAAUACAAGAGCAGGCGUUCCAGUCUAAUCCGGCGCGCGCUGCUCAGUCACUGACGUCAAGAAGGCUUCGGCUGAUACCACUACGUCGAGUGCCCAUAACUGUUCUCGCGUAGUUGGUUAGUGCGUAUAGGCCAGUGGCCAGACUCAGAUCAAAUACCAAGAUCUCGUUAAGCGUGUUAUUAUGAAGUAACCGCGAACGCCGACCAGGGCCAGGCCCACCUCUCUCCUAGGUGGUCUCAACCUGCCCUGUCGCUCCGCCACAAAGUAACAGUCGGGGGCCGUCGGGAACCCAGGCCCACCUCUACCGGGAUGGAGCCACCUGUCCUUCCAGCCCCCACAUCGGAAUCACUUGCGGAUACUCAACGAGCCAACCCGACUUUAGUCACCAUCUGUAUAGUAUGUAUAUAUGUAUAGUAUAUACCCGUGAUCACCUCCUGAGUGAUCACUGUCCAAUAGUAUAGCAAGGCAGACUGACAAGAAUGUAGGGCCAAUGAUGAUAAACUAGCAUCCUAUACUAAGGAUUUAGGAUUACGGGUAAGGUAUCAACGACUGUACCAACAAUGACAGGCUAUGCAACAGAAUAGGAGUAACCGAACAGUAACAUGCUACACUACUCUAAUGCAAGCAGUAUAGAGAAGAAUAGACGAUNNNNNNNNNNNNNNNNNNNNNNNNNNNNNNNNNNNNNNNNNNNNNNNNNNNNNNNNNNNNNNNNNNNNNNNNNNNNNNNNNNNNNNNNNNNNNNNNNNNNNNNNNNNNNNNNNNNNNNNNNNNNNNNNNNNNNNNNNNNNNNNNNNNNNNNNNNNNNNNNNNNNNNNNNNNNNNNNNNNNNNNNNNNNNNNNNNNNNNNNNNNNNNNNNNNNNNNNNNNNNNNNNNNNNNNNNNNNNNNNNNNNNCUUUGGCAAGGAGGGGUCGUCGUCGACGUAGUCAUACUCAGGGGCAUCAGCAUCAGUCUCGGGGUCUACCGGAGAAGAAGAGGGGGAAGAAAUAGUAAAUACAUUGCAAACAGAUGCAUGACGAUGCAUGGCAAAGCAAACAACGGUGAUAGGUGUGCCCUAACGCAGUACUAGGUGAUACCGACAAAGGUGGGAAACAUCUGAGAAAGUAUCCUUGGUGUUUCGCGUUUUCGGACAGAUGAACCGGAGGUGAAAUAUUGCAUGUUCGCUAUGCUAGGGACGCAUGGCGGACGAACGGGUUGCGUGUUCGAGUUCGUCUCGUCGUUCUGAGCAACUUUCAUGUAUAAAGUAUUUUCAUCCGAGCUACGGUUUAUUUUAUAUUAAUUUUUAAAGUUUUAAAUGAUUUUCUAAUUUCUGGAUUUCAAUUAAUUCGAAAUUAAAAACAGAACACUUUUGUCACCUAGUACUACUCUUGCCAGGGUCUAUUACAUGUGGGGCCAGAGGGGUGCUGACUCAGCAGUCAACAAUCAAACUGUUGACUGUUGACUAGUCAAAAUUGGGCAGUGGGGCCCAGGUGUCAUUGGGACAUAAUUUUAUCAGAGUUUCCUUAGUUUAAAAUUUAGAUGGGGUCCACCAGUCAUUAUCACAGGGGCAUUGACUUAGACUAAUUAAACUAGGCCUAAUGGCCUUGGGCCCACGGGUCAGUGGGGGUUAGUGGGGGUUCGUGGGAAGAGUUAGGGCCCUGAUCUAACGAGGUCGGCCUCUCAGGCAGAGAGCCAUCCGGCUGAGCAGCAGCCAGGAGCUGCGCAGCCAGCAGCGAACGGAGCCGGCGGAGGGCCGCGUAGGCGCAGGCGGUGGCGGGACCAAGGCAACGGCGGGGCGUCGCGGGCGCGGGCGGCGCACGAUGGGGUUAGUGGAGGCGGGUGAGAUCUGUGGCGGCCAUCGACAAAAGCGGCAGCACGGGCGUACGCGAGCGGCGGCCAGCAGCGGCCCGAGGCGGUAGGCAGGGGAGGUGAGGCGCGCGGCUGGAGCCGCCCGAGCGCAGCGGAGUACGGGGAUCAGGCGCGGCUGGACGGGAUCGACGCGGUGAGCCAAACCGCGGCGACUGGAGCAGCAUCAUCGGCAACAACAAGUAGCAGCGGCGGAUUGAGCAACGGAGGAAGGGGAUCCAUGGCGGAGCUCACCUAGUAGGCGCACGGAGGCCCGUUGGGAGUUUAGGAGCAACAGCGACGGUGUAUUUGACGGAGAGGCGCCGGUGAUCGAAGAGGACGAAGCGCUCGAUCCCGACGAUGUAGAGGCGCAGAGCUCGAAUGAGUCCUCGUAGAGGACGUAGUGGACGACGACGCAUCUCCUAGGCGCGGUCUCGAAGCGUGGGGGCGACGGUGGCCGCGAGAUCGACGGAGGCCAUGGCGGCAGUGCUUCGGGCUCGUGUGGGGAACGAGAGAGCGGCGCGAGGGAGAUGGGAGAGUGAGCUAGGGUCCGUCACGGGGGUUCGGGGAGGGGUCGCCGUCGACCUAAAGGAGCCGGGGGGCACCGG
rnacentral:lncRNA from 1 species